rfam:TPA: Bos taurus chromosome 9, whole genome shotgun sequence.
UCCCUGGUGGCUUAGAGGUUAAAGAAUCUGCCUCCAAUGUGGGAGACCCGGGUUCAGUUCCUGGAUAGGGAA